rnacentral:rRNA from 1 species
GGGAUUGCCUCAGUAACGGCGAGUGAAGCGGCAACAGCUCAAAUUUGAAAUCUGGCUCCUUCGGGGUCCGAAUUGUAAUUUGUAGAGAGUGCUUCGGGCGAGACCUCGGUCUAAGUCCAUUGGAACAUGGUGUCAUAGAGGGUGAGAAUCCCGUAUGCGACCGUGGCUCGAGCCCAUGUGAAGCCUCUUCGACGAGUCGAGUUGUUUGGGAAUGCAGCUCAAAAUGGGUGGUAAAUUUCAUCUAAAGCUAAAUACUGGCUGGAGACCGAUAGCGCACAAGUAGAGUGAUCGAAAGAUGAAAAGCACUUUGGAAAGAGAGUCAAACAGUACGUGAAAUUGUUGAAAGGGAAGCGCUUGCAACCAGACCUGCCCGUAGGCGAUCAGCCGCUGUUCUCAGCGGUGUACUCGCUCUGCGAUCAGGCCAGCAUCGGUUUCGGCGGUCGGAUAAAGACCUUGGGAAUGUAGCUUCCCUUCGGGGAAGUCUUAUAGCCCUCGGUGUAAUGCGGCCAGUCGGGACCGAGGACCGCGCUUCGGCUAGGAUGCUGGCGUAAUGGUUGUAAGCGACCCGUCUUGAAACACGGACCAAGGAGUCUAACAUCUAUGCGAGUGUUUGGGUGUCAAACCCAUACGCGGAAUGAAAGUGAACGAGAGGUGAGAACCCUUAAGGGCGCAUCAUCGACCGAUCCAGAUGUCUUCGGAUGGAUUUGAGUAUGAGCAUAGCUGUUGGGACCCGAAAGAUGGUGAACUAUGCCUGAAUAGGGUGAAGCCAGAGGAAACUCUGGUGGAGGCUCGCAGCGGUUCUGACGUGCAAAUCGAUCGUCAAAUUUGGGUAUAGGGGCGAAAGACUAAUCGAACCA